ensembl:lncRNA
ACUGCAAGAAGAAGCUAAGUUAACAGCAGGUAAGGCUCCAAGAGAGGUAAGGAGUGCAGGAAGAUACAUCUCACUGUAGCACCCGAUGUGUUGGAAGAAGUAGACAAAAUCAGGCUCGAAAGGACUUUGUGUCUUCUCUUCAGUUGAGGAUGAACUCAAGAGGAUGGAUCCUGCAGAGAGCGCAAAGAGCUGAUAUCCACAGAGCUGCUGAGCUGUUUGUACUCCAUUAAACACACAGUCACUACACCAGGGUAUCCCCUCAUCAGGCCACACGGUGAUUAAAAGCUGCCCUUUGAAACAGCUUCCUCCUGUACAGGAAGCAUUCUCUGCCUCUCCCAGUGCAGUAAUUAGGUGCUGAAAAUAAAGUCUGUAGCAUCCAGCUUCAAAACAAGCAGAAGAAAGUUGUUCUUCAGACAGCAGGUGUUUGGGAUGCAUUCAAGAGGAACCUGGAGAAGUUUCUGGGGAAAAAAAAAAAAAAGUCAAUCUUCUGGGAGUUGCUAGAUACUUGCUACAGACCUCAGUUAGCUCAAGAGGCAUCUGAGCUGAAAAUGGCUGGAGAGUGAAGGAGUAUCUCUAUCUGCUUUCUUAUUCUUUUCUUGGCACAUCCAUUUAUGAUGGCUCUCAGGGACAAGAUACUGGGCUAGAUGGACGUAGUCAGAUCCUCUAUAGCCACAUUUAUGCUCUAUUAUAACAAGCCACACUGAUCCAAAUAGUCUUCAUACCACGAUGGCAGUGUCUGUUCGCUGGGACCUAAAUGAAGUAUGUGGGACCUGUGUAAAGGACAGGCUGGGGAAUGCAGGAAAUUUAAACAAGAAGUGAGCACAGAAGCCAGCUCCAUGGAGCAGCUAUACCAUAGAGAGCAAAGCUUUUCUCCAGAUAAUCCCCUGCACUCUGAUGAGGAUGGCUGCAGCUGUCCAGCUCUUGGAGCAAGAUGGACAAUGUACCCUAAGAACUCCAGCAGCAGACUUCUCUGUGGGGAUGUAAAAAUAGAGAUAGAAAAGGACUAAUUGUUGUUUGGGCUGUGGGCCCACUGUUCCCCCUCCUCAUGGGAGCCUUGUUUGCGUGCUCUUGUUUCUCUUGGAUCAGCAGCACGGAUGAAGGAGAUACGUGGGUUCCAAACAUACAGCUACUCCUCAGCCAUAAGCACUAACAAAAUAAAGUAUUGGGAUGUUUUGGGUUUUUUUUUUUCCGUAUUCUGAAAAUGGUAACAACAGCAAGCUUCCACUUCUAUCUCAUGUACUGGCCCUGCUUCCUUGGCACAGUUGAUGUAUCCUGUGGGGCCCUGCCAGGUGGGAGAGUCCUUACUGAGCCCAUUUGGAGGCAUGAAGGGAGCCAGGUGCUGCAGCACGGCUGCAUCAGAACCAGCCUGCUCAG